rnacentral:tRNA from 2 species
GGCCCGGUAGCUCAGUUGGUAGAGCACCGCACUGAAAAUGCGGGUGUCGCCAGUUCGAUUCUGGCCUGGGCCACCA